CGGACACCUAGAAGAAAAAAAACAAUUUAUGCCCAGAGUUAAUUUUAACCUUACUUCUGGGAUUAGGAUUAGAAUAAGAAUCAAGAGAGGUUAAAUUAGUUCCUGACCCUACUUCUAACCCUCAGCUCAGUCUUAAAUGUCCAAUGUCCCAGGACUACAGUGAAGCCCCCUAAACUAUAAGCUGAGAGUGAUAGUUACUUUACUUACCUUGCUGGACCCACC